ACACGCUCAGAGUAUGUGUAUCACACUCAUAUAUUGUGUUCCUCUUUUUCUUCUGCUUUAUUCUUAUCGAUUUUUUGUAUCUUCAUUGAUUUAAUUUAUAUGUAGAUAGUUCUUUUCUUAUGUGUUUAAUUGAUUUCUGUGUUUCAUAUAAUUUUUUCUUGAAAUCGCAAGUCAGCUUCUUGGUUAAAUCUUGUUAAUUCUACGGUUUAAAUCAAUUAUAUUUAUAUACUUGCGAAUAUCAAUUGGUUUUACAGGCUCACUCGUCUGAAUUGGAUUUUUUCAUGAUAUUUCAGACCCUUUAGUACUGUAACAUUUUUUUUUAUUUAAUCAAUUAUUUUUAAGCAAACUCACUCUGUCCCUUAACCGUGUUUAACACUAAUGUUUUGAGGCAAUUUCUUCGUUUGCAAAACUAAUUAUGUUGUUAGUUCAAUCAAAUUCACUCGCACUUUUUUACUGUGUCGAGAUUUACCGAACUGCUGCAUAUGCUAAACAUUUUUUUUAUUAUUUAUUCGUUUAUUUUUUUUUUGUUUAUACUAAUCCAGUGAGGAGGAUCUCCCAUUAAUUGAUAGGAAGUGCCGUAUGACACUCUAAACAGCAGUUCCGUUUAAAUGAUCUCAUCCACCGAUUAACAUAUUGUUGUUAUCGGCCGAGAUCGUUCUUUACGGAACUGUGUGUGAGAUUUGAAACGGGUCUCCUGAGGAUUUUUUUCACUUUUAGUUUUUUUAUUACUGUUUGUUGUGUUUACUGAUUAGGUCUGAUGCCACGUCUCUGAUAGCUAUAUGCUCUGAUCAAAGAUGCUAUGAUUGGACCAAAAUUAAUAGUGUUUUUCAUUUGUUUCGCAUUCUGAUAGGAAUCUGCUUAUCUUAUUUACUAUGAUUUUGCAGAGCCGAUUUGUGCGAUUACAUUUCAAAUUUUUAUUAUUAUUUUGUUGUUUUAGUGAAGCUGAUGAUGAUAAAACUUGAUCUGGAAUUACCGUCUGAAUAGAUUUAUUCUUUGAUGUAAAUUUCUUGGCUGUGGUACUGAGGCUUCAAAUUCUUCAUUAAUGUUUCCUAAUUGUAGUUCAGAAUUAGUUUGAUAUGUUUUUAGAGCAUUAUAAUUCUUUAAUUGUAAUUUUAGUAUGAAAUAAGAAUUUCCCUAGAAUUUUUUAGCUUAUGAGUUUUGUAUUUGUUUUGAAUACAUACUAUUUUUACCAAAAAGUGAGAGAACCAAUUGAUGCAUUGGUUCCUUGGUGGAGGAUUUUGAGUUAAGUCUCCAGUAAUCAAUACACAUUCGCCAUUUGGCGACUGUGGUGUGUAAUGAUUGAUUGCAACUCGCACUUUUACUGGAUGGAGAAUGUGUAUAGAUUACCGGAGACUUAACUCAACUACUAGAAGAGUUGGAUGUGAAUGGAUAUAAUAAUAACUUUCCCCAUUGUUACCUAGUUGCAGACCGACCUUGAUUAUUGGCCUCUUGGUUAAGUUGGUGAAUAAUGGAUAUUGACAUUCAUUUGAAAACAGGGUUGGUGGGCGGGAGGAAAUCUGAAUCAGUUCUCAAUUUCUUCACAACUCACGGUUUCACUCUGAUUCAGAUAUUCACAACAUCAUCAAAAGAGAUCCCUGGCUUCCUUCCUGUGAUACCCAAAAAGACAUACUUCUCCCAAAGUUUCAAUUUUUACUCUCCAAAGGUGCUUUUAAUUCCGACAUUGUUUGUAUGGUUGUAGAUAUCCCUAGAUUCAUGAAAUUUAGUUUGAAUAAUUGUGUAGGAAAUGAUGCAUUAAUCAGAAUUUCUAUUAUUCAGUUAUGUUGGAACUCAUUGGCUUAGUUGCGAAGCUUGUGAGAUUGUCUUCCCUAAAAAGUGUUUAAUGAAACUCAAUGCAGGUCUUUCUUGUUA